rnacentral:lncRNA from 1 species
AUUUAUAAAAUGGGGAUAGUUUAUGUGAAUUAACAAUAUUUUAAAUACGGGUGAUUCUUAAUUUCUCUGUAAUUUCCUAAUUUUGAUAUUUUACAUAUUUUUUCAUUUAAUAAUUAUUCUUGUUUCUGUAAUAGUUUAUACUAUUUUAAAAGAGCUAUUGUUAGAACAGUCUUUUUUUCUUAUAUGUUUUAUUAUUUGCAUAUAUGUGCCAAUCUUUAUUAUUUUCUUUACAGAAUGUCUCAUGCAUCCAUGGACCAAAAGAUGGAGUUGGUUUUUAUUUUUAAAAAUAGAUUAUCAGUGAUAUGAUAUGACUGUAAAUACUCGAUGAAGUUGCAUGGACUCAUCAUCAGGUUGGACUAGUGGUUACUUCUAAAAGUUUCUUCAACUACAGUUACUAUUUGAAAAUUCAGGCAUGCAAGAACAUUAGGUUUGGAGUGGCAUAAUGAUGUAUUUUCUCUAAGGACUGCAAAUUUCAUAGAGACCAUAGUUGGAUUCCAGUUGGAUUCCAGUUAUAUUCUUCAAUCAAAGUGAUUCAAUCCUUUGAUAAAGUUAAUUUUGAAGAGUUUUAUGUUUAUGAACGACGCCAAAAGAUGGGAGAAAAAAAUGGCAUCGGUCCAGAGUGUCAACAGGGAAGCAACACCUCUUCUGAGGCUGCAGUGGUGGCAGCAUCCCUAAUUAGCCAGAGAGUCCCUUUGGGUAAGAUGACUUUGCCAGGGAGAUUUGGGACUAUGAGACCUAAGCCUUUUAUGAAGGUUCUCACCCCACUGUCAAACUUAGAGGUUCUGGGUUUAAUUUUUAUUAAGGAAAAUCUAUUUUUUGUAAACUUCGUAGGCUUUCUGAUUGUUAAUCCUCCUAAUGGCUUCUCAAAUGAUCUUUCUAAAGUACAAUAAUUAUUGUGUCUCUCUUUUGUUUAAGGCCCUAUUAAUUAAUUUUGAACGUUUUAUAUAUUUUAACAUUUUAACAUACAUAAAUUUUAACAUUUUGGGUAUUUUUAUUACUUUUAAACAUGGUUCAUGUAUGCAAUUUGCUUUUGCCAGAGUAAUUGUCUUUCUCGUAUUUCUGUUUUCAGCUGUGAAAGAAUUAUUUCCUCUAGGAAAUUUUUUUUAAGUAAACUCUACCCCCAGUAUGUGACUCAAACUCAUGACCCAAAGAUCAGGAGUUGCUGGGCACCUAUCUUUAGGAAUUUUUGAUUAAGGUGUUCACUUGCUGGACAUCUGAAAUACUGGCCCA